rnacentral:rRNA from 1 species
CACGUAGGGCGCGAGCGUUGUCCGGAAUUAUUGGGCGUAAAGAGCUCGUAGGCGGCCUGUUGCGUCCGCUGUGAAAGCCCGGGGCUUAACCCCGGGUCGGCAGUGGAUACGGGCAGGCUAGAGGUAGGUAGGGGAGAAUGGAAUUCCCGGUGUAGCGGUGAAAUUCGUAGAUAUCAGGAGGAACACCUAUUGCGAAGGCAGCUCGCUGGGACGUUACUGACGCUGAGACGCGAAAGCGUGGGGAGCAAACAGG